rnacentral:rRNA from 1 species
UGGGGAAUUUUGGACAAUGGGCGAAAGCCUGAUCCAGCAAUGCCGCGUGUGUGAAGGAGGCCUUCGGGUUGUAAAGCACUUUUGUCCGGAAAGAAAUCCUUGGCUCUAAUACAGUCGGGGGAUGACGGUACCGGAAGAAUAAGCACCGGCUAACUACGUGCCAGCAGCCGCGGUAAUACGUAGGGUGCAAGCGUUAAUCGGAAUUACUGGGCGUAAAGCGUGCGCAGGCGGUUUGCUAAGACCGAUGUGAAAUCCCCGGGCUCAACCUGGGAACUGCAUUGGUGACUGGCAGGCUAGAGUAUGGCAGAGGGGGGUAGAAUUCCACGUGUAGCAGUGAAAUGCGUAGAGAUGUGGAGGAAUACCGAUGGCGAAGGCAGCCCCCUGGGCCAAUACUGACGCUCAUGCACGAAAGCGUGGGGAGCAAAACAGGAUUAGAUACCCUGGUAGUCCACGCCCUAAACGAUGUCAACUAGUUGUUGGGGAUUCAUUUCCUUAGUAACGUAGCUAACGCGUGAAGUUGACCGCCUGGGGAGUACGGUCGUAAGAUUAAAACUUAAAGGAAUUGACGGGGUCAUAGCUGUUUCCU